GUUAUAUGGUCAAGCGAAUAAGCGCACACGGUGGAUGCCUAGGCGGUCAGAGGCGAUGAAGGACGUGGUAGCCUGCGAAAAGUGUCGGGGAGCUGGCAACAAGCUUUGAUCCGGCAAUAUCCGAAUGGGGAAACCCACUGCUUCGGCAGUAUCCUGCAGUGAAUUCAUAGCUGCUGGAAGCGAACCCGGUGAACUGAAAUAUCUAAGUAACCGGAGGAAAAGAAAUCAACCGAGAUUCCCUAAGUAGUGACGAGCGAACGGGGAACAGCCCUUAAGCUGGAAUGGCUUUAGAAAAACAAUCUGGAAAGAUUGGCCAUAGAAGGUGAUAGCCCUGUAUUUAAAAGGGCCACUCCAGUGAAGACGAGUAGGGCGGGGCACGUGAAACCCUGUCUGAAUAUGGGGGGACCAUCCUCCAAGGCUAAAUACUCCUGACCGACCGAUAGUGAACCAGUACCGUGAGGGAAAGGCGAAAAGAACCCCGGAGAGGGGAGUGAAAUAGAUCCUGAAACCGUGUGCGUACAAGCAGUAGGAGCUCGCAAGAGUGACUGCGUACCUUUUGUAUAAUGGGUCAGCGACUUACUGUUCGUGGCAAGCUUAACCGUAUAGGGGAGGCGAAGGGAAACCGAGUCUGAUAAGGGCGCAUAGUCGCGGGCAGUAGACCCGAAACCGGGUGAUCUAGUCAUGGCCAGGGUGAAGGUGCCGUAACAGGUACUGGAGGCCCGAACCCACGUCUGUUGCAAAAGACGGGGAUGAGCUGUGAUUAGGAGUGAAAAGCUAAUCGAACCCGGAGAUAGCUGGUUCUCCUCGAAAGCUAUUUAGGUAGCGCCUCGGACGAAUACUACUGGGGGUAGAGCACUGUUAUGGCUAGGGGGUCAUCGCGACUUACCAAACCAUUGCAAACUCCGAAUACCAGUACGUACUAUCCGGGAGACACACGGCGGGUGCUAACGUCCGUCGUGAAAAGGGAAACAACCCAGACCCACAGCUAAGGUCCCAAAUUCACUGCUAAGUGGAAAACGAUGUGGAAAGGCACAGACAGCCAGGAGGUUGGCUUAGAAGCAGCCACCCUUUAAAGAAAGCGUAAUAGCUCACUGGUCGAGUCGGUCUGCGCGGAAGAUUUAACGGGGCUAAGCAGUGAACCGAAGCUUGGGGUGCAUAAAACUUGUUUUAUGCGCGGUAGAGGAGCGUUCCGUAAGCCUGCGAAGGUGGAUUGAGAAGUCCGCUGGAGGUAUCGGAAGUGCGAAUGCUGACAUGAGUAACGAUAAUGCGGGUGAAAAGCCCGCACGCCGAAAGCCCAAGGUUUCCUUGCGCAACGUUAAUCGACGCAGGGUUAGUCGGUCCCUAAGGCGAGGGCGAAAGCCGUAGUCGAUGGGAAGCAGGUUAAUAUUCCUGCACCUCGCGUGAGUGCGAUGGAGGGACGGAGAAGGUUAGGUGUACCGGGCGUUGGUUGUCCCGGGGAAAGGCGGUAGGUUUGGAUCUUUGGCAAAUCCGGGAUCCUUUAAGACCGAGCACCGAGACGAGCCUUUAUGGCGAAGUCACUGAUACCACGCUUCCAGGAAAAGCUCCUAAGCUUCAGCUCACGAAGACCGUACCGUAAACCGACACAGGUGGGUAGGAUGAGAAUUCUCAGGCGCUUGAGAGAACUCGGGUGAAGGAACUAGGCAACAUGGCACCGUAACUUCGGGAGAAGGUGCACCCUUUUUGGUGGCUCAUGCGAGCUAUAGCUGAAGAGGGUCGCAGAAACCAGGCCGCUGCGACUGUUUAUCAAAAACACAGCACUCUGCAAACACGAAAGUGGACGUAUAGGGUGUGACGCCUGCCCGGUGCUGGAAGGUUAAUUGAUGGGGUCAGCCGCAAGGCGAAGCUCUUGAUCGAAGCCCCAGUAAACGGCGGCCGUAACUAUAACGGUCCUAAGGUAGCGAAAUUCCUUGUCGGGUAAGUUCCGACCUGCACGAAUGGCGUAACGACAGCGGCGCUGUCUCCACCCGAGACUCAGUGAAAUUGAAAUCGCUGUGAAGAUGCAGCGUUCCCGUGGCAAGACGGAAAGACCCCGUGAACCUUUACUAUAGCUUUACACUGAACGUUGAGUUCGUCUGUGUAGGAUAGGUGGGAGGCUAUGAAACUGUGGCGCUAGCUGCAGUGGAGCCAUCCUUGAAAUACCACCCUGUCGUGCUUGACGUUCUAACCUAGAUCCGUUAUCCGGAUCAGGGACCGUGUAUGGUGGGUAGUUUGACUGGGGCGGUCUCCUCCUAAAGAGUAACGGAGGAGCACGAAGGUACGCUCAGCGCGGUCGGACAUCGCGCACUGUGUGCAAAGGCAUAAGCGUGCUUGACUGCAAGAUCGACGGAUCAAGCAGGUACGAAAGUAGGUCUUAGUGAUCCGGUGGUUCUGUAUGGAAGGGCCAUCGCUCAACGGAUAAAAGGUACUCCGGGGAUAACAGGCUGAUACCGCCCAAGAGUUCAUAUCGACGGCGGUGUUUGGCACCUCGAUGUCGGCUCAUCACAUCCUGGGGCUGUAGUCGGUCCCAAGGGUAUGGCUGUUCGCCAUUUAAAGUGGUACGCGAGCUGGGUUCAGAACGUCGUGAGACAGUUCGGUCCCUAUCUGCCAUGGGCGUUGGAAGUUUGAGAGGGGCUGCUCCUAGUACGAGAGGACCGGAGUGGACGAACCUCUGGUGUUCCGGUUGUCACGCCAGUGGCAUUGCCGGGUAGCUAUGUUCGGAAGCGAUAACCGCUGAAAGCAUCUAAGCGGGAAGCGCGCCUCAAGAUGAGACUUCCCGGGGCACAAGCCCCCUAAAGGAACCAUAUAGACUAUGUGGUUGAUAGGUCAGGUGUGUAAGUACAGCAAUGUAUUGAGCUAACUGAUACUAAUGAUCCGUGCGGCUUGACCAUAUAACCU
rnacentral:rRNA from 2 species